rnacentral:lncRNA from 1 species
GCGUCAGGCCUGUCAGAGUGCGUCAGGCCUAGGGGCAUGUGUCCGGGCGCUCGCCGGGUGAGCCGACUUCACUGCUGUGGGCUCCUAGCUGGAGCAGGAGGUCCCUGUGAGGACAGGCUAGCGGAAUGUCUAACAACUAAACACUGCUUUCCAAAACUCUAGGACAAGUUUUCAUGUCUCACUACCUCAGGUAACAACGAACAUUUUAUAAAAGACCUUGCUAGGUAGCUGCCUUGAUCUUUCCUGGAUAUUUCCCCUUUGACAUUUUUAGCAACUCAAAAAACUACUAUUACGUGACGAAAUGUUAUGCCAACCUAGUCGAAAGGAAGGACACACGUACUGUACAAUUCAUGAAUCCCCACUUCACCCUCUCUUCUGACACCUGCUGGAAGUCCCGGAGAAAGACCAUCCUCAGGAUUGAUAAUUUUCUGGAAGAAAUCAACUCACUGAAAGCCGUUAAACUCACACCGUGAAAAGAUAAAAAUUUAAAUCAGGCCAGAGAAGCCAGAUCCUCUGGCCCGUGCCUGUACUUCUAUAACUGAGCCUGAGGCAAGAG